rnacentral:lncRNA from 1 species
GCCUGUUGUCACAGUAACCUCCAGUGGAGCUUUUGAGACUAAAAGAUUCUUUAAGGAACUCUCAGACCACCAGCACUAAGGAUGAGGAAAGAGGGACACAUGUUCUAAGCCAGCCCAAGUCACAGACGAAGAGUCUCUCUCAAAAAAUGUUUUAAUUUCUUUUCUCAGUUUUCUAAGUGAGACAAAGUAUUGAACUGUACUUUUCUCUUGUGAAGUCAACAUAGGAAACAGCUUGAAAACUUGUGAUCUUUCUGGACUGCAAAGGCCUAGGAGACUGAAGAAUGAAUGCAGGUAUUCACGCACGCAUGUGUGUGCACACACACAUAUAUAGAAGACACACACUCACAUACACACAGAAACACACAGAGACACACACACCCACACACACACAGAAACAUACAUACACAGAUAUAACACAUACACACACUCAUAGUCGCACAUACACAGACACACACACUUGCACACACACACACACACACACACACACACACACUAUUCUACACAUGCUAAAGUGGUGUCUAGUGGCCUGGAGAAGCAGAGUUAGCUGACAGAGCUAACACAUAUCUGCCAGACAUUACCAAAACACCAGGGUGUUGGUGCCACUGCCAGGAGGACUUGUCCCAAGUCUAGAGCUGUGGCAGAAAACCCACCAAGGGCACUUAGAUCACUGCGGGCAUCGAUAGUGACGUCUCCACUGCCCAUGCUAUUCCAGCACCACUGCCUAUCUGGACAGUGCUUCUGACACACAGGCACUGUAUUCCGUGCACAAUAUCCUUAAGAAGUGAAAACAAUAUUACUUUGUUCUUCAAAGUCUUUUACUGUAAGUCCUCCUGCAAAAGUUGACUGUGAAUACCAGGUAUAAUGUUCUUCUCAGAGGUGGAUUGCUGGAGAUUUCAGCACAUCACUCUUAGGUGGAUUUUCUUUCCUUUUUUCUAAUUUGGAAACUUUAUUUAUUAAAAUAUCAAUGAUGGAUUAUUCUGUUUCUGUUCAGGACACACUAAUACAGACUGUUCCUAAUACAUUGUCUCUAUUUCUUAUGAUCAAUGCUUUUAGGGUCUUUUUAAACAAGAACAAAAUACUUUCUAAUAGAGGAAAUUAAGAGAUGUUAUAGAAAAGUUGUAGAAACCAUGAAUAGAUCAAGAGGUAGAUAUUGUAAUUUUUUUUCAAGCAAAAAAGUCCAUAUAAGUCAUCUGAAAAGCAAUGCAAUGACCUGCUACUGAGUACCAUCAAGUCUACUCUUCAUGCUGUUUCUUCCCAGACCAGAGGCUCCUAGCCAACAGCAUUACAUCCAACACUCUAACAUGACUACAACCAAACUUUGAGACAAGCUCUCACGUUGCAGUUCAGGCUUGUCUCAAACUCACUGUGUAACUCAAGCUGGUUUCAAACCCAUAACCUGAACAUCUUGGGUGCUGGGAUACCAGAAGUGCACAAGCUUGGCUGGUAAAACAAUUCUGGUACCAUAGUUACUGCUAACAAAACUCAGACAGUUAUUAAGUCUCCCCCCAAAAAAUGAUGGGUAUAUGUCAACUCCAGCAUUCUAAAUCAGAAAUGGCAGGCAUGAGCAGACAGUGAUU